AGAGUUUGAUCAUGGCUCAGGACGAACGCUGGCGGCGUGCUUAACACAUGCAAGUCGAACGAUGAACUCCUAGCUUGCUGGGGGGGAUUAGUGGCGAACGGGUGAGUAACACGUGAGUAACCUGCCCUGGACUCUGGGAUAACUCCGAGAAAUCGGUGCUAAUACCGGAUAGGACCUGGAACCGCAUGGUUUUGGGUGGAAAGUUUUUUCGGUCUGGGAUGGACUCGCGGCCUAUCAGCUUGUUGGUGAGGUAAUGGCUCACCAAGGCGUCGACGGGUAGCCGGCCUGAGAGGGUGACCGGCCACACUGGGACUGAGACACGGCCCAGACUCCUACGGGAGGCAGCAGUGGGGAAUAUUGCACAAUGGGCGCAAGCCUGAUGCAGCAACGCCGCGUGCGGGAUGACGGCCUUCGGGUUGUAAACCGUUUUAGUAAGGAAGAAGGGGAGCUUGCUCCUUGACGGUACUUGCAGAAAAAGGACCGGCUAACUACGUGCCAGCAGCCGCGGUAAUACGUAGGGUCCGAGCGUUGUCCGGAAUUAUUGGGCGUAAAGAGCUCGUAGGCGGUUUGUCACGUCUGCUGUGAAAUCCCGAGGCUCAACCUCGGGCCUGCAGUGGGUACGGGCAGACUGGAGUGCGGUAGGGGAGAAUGGAAUUCCUGGUGUAGCGGUGGAAUGCGCAGAUAUCAGGAGGAACACCGAUGGCGAAGGCAGUUCUCUGGGCCGUAACUGACGCUGAGGAGCGAAAGCGUGGGGAGCGAACAGGAUUAGAUACCCUGAUAGUCCACGCCGUAAACGUUGG
rnacentral:rRNA from 1 species